rnacentral:lncRNA from 1 species
CUAACAGUAUUUGUUAUCUCUCUCAGUUUCUGCAGGUCAGAACUUCAGAUAGGGCAUAGUGGGAUGGAUUGUCUCUGUCCUAUGAUGACUGUGUUAUUAGCUGGAAGACUUCACAGCUGGGGACUGGGAUCAUCUGAAAACUCAUCCACCCGUACGUUUGGUUGUUGAUGCUGGCUGUCAGAUCACAGGCAGAGAAGCAGGCAGAGAGACAGGUGGAAGCAGGCUCCCUGCUGCGCAGAGAACCUGAUGCAGGACUUGAUCCCAGGACCCUGGAAUCAUGA